rnacentral:rRNA from 1 species
AUUGAACGCUGGCGGCAGGCCUAACACAUGCAAGUCGAGCGGAUGAAGGGAGCUUGCUCCUGGAUUCAGCGGCGGACGGGUGAGUAAUGCCUAGGAAUCUGCCUGGUAGUGGGGGAUAACGUCCGGAAACGGGCGCUAAUACCGCAUACGUCCUGAGGGAGAAAGUGGGGGAUCUUCGGACCUCACGCUAUCAGAUGAGCCUAGGUCGGAUUAGCUAGUUGGUGGGGUAAAGGCCUACCAAGGCGACGCUCCGUAACUGGUCUGAGAGGAUGAUCAGUCACACUGGAACUGAGACACGGUCCAGACUCCUACGGGAGGCCGCAGUGGGGAAUAUUGGACAAUGGGCGAAAGCCUGAUCCAGCCAUGCCGCGUGUGUGAAGAAGGUCUUCGGAUUGUAAAGCACUUUAAGUUGGGAGGAAGGGCAGUAAGUUAAUACCUUGCUGUUUUGACGUUACCAACAGAAUAAGCACCGGCUAACUUCGUG